CCAAUAGCGUAUAUUAAAGUUGUUGCAGUUAAAAAGCUCGUAGUUGAAUUUCGGGAUCAUCAGGUUGGUCGUGCCACUGGUAUGUACUUGCCUCGGUGGUCCCUCCCUCUUGAAGAACCGUAAUGCCAUUAAUUUGGUGUUGCGGGGAAUCAGGACUGUUACUUUGAAAAAAUUAGAGUGUUUAAAGCAGGCAAACGCUUGAAUACAUUAGCAUGGAAUAAUGAAAUAGGACGUUUGAUCUUAUUUUGUUGGUUUCUAGGAUCGACGUAAUGAUUAAUAGGGAUAGUUGGGGGCAUUAGUAUUCAAUUGUCAGAGGUGAAAUUCUUGGAUUUAUUGAAGACUGACUACUGCGAAAGCAUUUGCCAAGGAUGUUUUCAUUAAAUCAAGAACGAAAGUUAGGGGAUCGAAGACGAUCAGAUACCGUCGUAGUCUUAACCAUAAACUAUGCCGACUAGGGAUCGGAUGAUGUAAUUUUUUAAUGACUCAUUCGGCGCCUUACGAGAAA
rnacentral:rRNA from 1 species